rnacentral:tRNA from 1 species
GCCCAGCUGGCUCAGUUGGAAAAGCAUGUGACUCUUGAUCUCAGGGGUGUGAGUUUGAGCCCCACUUUGGGUG